rnacentral:rRNA from 1 species
ACGCUCGACACCUACGUGAGGCAGCAGUGGGGAAUAUUGCACAAUGGGGGAAACCCUGAUGCAGCGACGCCGCGUGGAGGAAGAAGGUCUUCGGAUUGUAAACUCCUGUUGUUGGGGAAAAAGAGGAUGGUACCCAACAAGGAAGUGACGGCUAACUACGUGCUAGCACGCCGGACGGUAAUCUGAGGCGGGCUGGACAAGGC